rnacentral:rRNA from 1 species
GGAUGCGAUCAUACCAGCACUAAAGCAGCGGAUCCCAUUAGAACUCCGAAGUUAAGCGUGCUUGGGCGAGAGUAGUACUAGGAUGGGUGACCUCCUGGGAAGUCCUCGUGUUGCAUUCC